rnacentral:rRNA from 1 species
AUUGAACGCUGGCGGCAGGCCUAACACAUGCAAGUCGAGCGAGCGGCGGACGGGUGAGUAAUGUAUGGGGACUGCCCGAUAGAGGGGGAUAAAUACUGGAAAAGGUAGCUAAUACCGCAUACUAUCGGAUAACCCAUUGGGGAGUAGCUCGUCGGUGAGGUAAUGGCUCACCUAGGCGACGAUCCCCAGCUGGUCUGAGAGGAUGAUCAGCCACACUGGGAUGUAGACACGGCCCAGACUCCUACGGAGGCAGCAGUGGGGAAUAUUGCACAAUGGGCGCAAGCCUGAUGCAGCCAUGCCGCGUGUAUGAAGAAGGCCCUAGGGUUGUAAAGUACUUUCAGUCGGGAGGCGUUACCGACAGAAGAAGCACCGGCUAACUCCGUGCCAGCAGCCGCGGUAAUAC